rnacentral:misc_RNA from 1 species
UCUCCGUUGGUGAACCAGCGGAGGGAUCAUUACAGAGUUGCAAAACUCCCAAACCAUUGUGAACGUUACCUAUCCCGUAGCUUCGGCGGGCGGCCCGGGCCCCGCGCCCGGCGCCCCCCGGCCCCCCGUGGGCGCCCGCCGGAGGUAAACCAAACCCUUGAAUUGCAUGGCCUCUCUGAGUCUUCUGUACUGAAUAAGUCAAAACUUUCAACAACGGAUCUCUUGGUUCUG